ensembl:ncRNA lncRNA:CR44705 long non-coding RNA:CR44705
CGCCACGAGUGCGGCACUUGAAUGAAGAAUGGAGAAUGUCGAAUGGGAAUGGGAAUGGCAAUGGGUAACGCUGGCGGGGAUCGGCGAUCGGCAAUCUGGGGACUGGAGAGUAGGAGCACGGAGCACGGAGCACGGAGCUUUGGAAUGCGCACGUCUCUCGCUAUUUGGCUUUCUGGCACUGGGCACUUGGCACUGGGCACUUGGCACUUGGCCAUCGGGCGAUGGCAAUGGCAACCUGUCC